rnacentral:lncRNA from 1 species
AAAAUAAGCUAUGAAUAAAAAUACAAUAAAUAAUAUUGAUACUGAAAAAAAUAAACAACCAUUGUGUAAAGACAUUAAGGAGGAGCAAAACGAUGUGGAAAAAAAAAACAAGGACAACACAAGUAACAAUGAUUUCGAAAAAAAUAAACUAAAAAAAGCAAAGGAUAAUGCUCAAAAUAAAAAUAUAUGUAAAACAUUUAAUUAUGUAAAAUAUUAUGAACGUGUAAAAAAAUGGACAGAACAUAGACGAGGUAAUUUUAGCUUUGAAAAGAAAAGUAUUAAAAAAAUAAUUAACAAAACAUACAAAAGUAAUUGUAUAAAAGAUAAUUAUAUAAUAAAUAAACAUAAUAAUAGUAAAAAAAGAAAAUAUGAUACAAAGGAGUGUCCCAUUUUAACUGAGCAAAAAACAAAACAAAGCAAAAUAGAUAAUGUCAUGGGACAUAUAGUGGGGCAUAAGAAAAUAUGUAAAAAAAAUUGGAAAAAUAUAAAAAUUAGUACGGAUAAGAAUAAAGGGUAUAACUAUUUGAAUGACAAUAAUAAUAAAAAAAGACAAAACGACAAAUUAAGAGACGAGUUAAGCAAUAACAUGAACAUAAUCGGUAGUGAUAAUAAUAAUAAUAAUAAUAAUAAAUAUGAUGAGCUAAUAGAAAACGACAUAAAUAAACUUUUAAAAAACAGUAAUGUUAAAAACGAUUUUUAUUAUUAUAAUUAUGAAACGGAUUCUGAGAAUAAUAGUAACAAUGUCUAUGACAAAAACAAUGGCAACAAAGAAAUGAUGGAAGAAAUAUAUAAUAAUAUGUCAAAAGAAAUAUCGAACAAAAUAGUAUUUAAUAAUGCAGAAAAAAAAGACAAUGUAUAUUCAAAUAACAAUUUAAUAGAUGAUUUUACCAAUUUAAAUUUAAAUUCGUUUAAUAAAUAUUCAAAUCAUCCUACCACUUUUCUACAAUCGAAUGAAACGGAUUCAACUAUUUUCGACAUGAAAAAAUAUAAUACAAAUGUCAUAAAAAAUGAUCGAUCCAAAAGAAACUAUAACAAAGUAUAUACAAAAAUAAGUACAAUACCUAGUUUAUAUUCUUUACACCGUGUUACUACAAAAAGAACAGAAACUAUAGCUGCAGAAAAACAAAAAGAGG